AGUUAAACUUAUUAUUAAUUUCAGAUCGAUCAAAUGAGAAUACAACACACUACCAUUAUCAUCAUCAGAAUCAUACUCCAAACCAAGAAGGAGAACUUACCUCAGAGAUGUUAAAAACCUUGAUGGACAGAUUAAAAGAAGCUGCAAAUAAAAGCGGAUUCACAAUCAGGAUAAAUCAAAAAGAAACCAAUAUACCUAUAACCACAAGACAAAAUGAUGUCUCUAUUAAUGGUGGCCAUGGAUAUGUUGUGAAAAUUAACUCAAGAAACUCAGAGACUAGUGGAAACAAUGGCGGAUAUAUUUACAGGAGCAGAUAUUAAUUUCUCAAAAAAACUAAAAAUUUGAAUCA